AAGAAAAUAUUUCAUUUGGGAUUUGAUUACUCCUGGGCACUUAUGGGAGAAAAUAAGCAAGGAUCCCAUUGCGAAACUAUCCAAAUAAAGGGAGCGGAGCAUCAAUGUUUUGAGAGCAUACAUACAGUGAAGAUUCUCGCCUCAGUGCUCUGUGCCUGUGUAUAUUUAUACUGACUGCACCACAGCUUCGGAGGCUUAUUGAAAAGGCUUGCGGUAAGCUAAUUCAAACCUGUUAGCGCAGAGGAUCCUUUGACCUCCAUUAGACUUGUCAAUAUUAUUGUGGUCAAGCUCAAGUGUUAAAUAUCAUGAGUGUCUCAGAACUGUAAAGCUGUGGGGUCAUGGUUCGGGGAAAUGGUGGUCAGGAGUAUAUGUUUCUCUCAGGACCUCUGAGUUAAGAGGAGGUCAAGACUUUGGAUGGUGCACUUCUGGACCAGCCAACACCUGCUGCUUGUCUACACAGCGACCUUAAAAAAAACAGCUCUUCAUGCAGCAGACUUCCUCCGAGGGAGAGAAGCAGACAGUGCCUGAAGAGAAAAGAGUCUACAAAUACCUUCUGUUGGUUAGAGCCAGGCUUACUACCACAUCGCAGAGGAUUUAAUGCAUCAAAUAUUCAAAGACUUUGAUCACUGCACUUGACGAAUUAUGCAUGUGAAGGCCUUUAGUAUUGUCUGAAAAGUUCAUGACUCCCUCUCACAAUCCAUCUGUGGUCUCUGGCAAAGAAGUCAAUAAGAAACUGCUUCUAUACAGCUCUUGUUUGAGAGAGGAGGAUACUUUUAAAGUCUGACGUGGCUUCCUAGGUUUUGACCGUGGAUAUCGCCAACAAAUGAACCAGUCUAUGGAUAAAAUAUGGAGGACUGGAUCUCUCCAGCUGCUGACCCUGCUGAAAAGCAAGGGCACUAAUGGAGGUGCACCAGCUAGAAAUGCCCUGCGUGUGUCUCACCUACCUGCAUGCUGAAAAGGUGAGAGCAUGGUGAGAGCACAGCAACAGGUCACUGUGAUGCUUCCUGGGAAAUGAUGUGCUGUAUCAGAGACAUUGACCUCCAUGGUUCUACACACUGCCUGAAAAGUCCUGAGCCAUGUGGAUCUGUGUUAGUACCAGUUCAUGUAAAAGCUGUCAACAAGUGUGGACGUUCCAAGAUACCAUUAUUUGGAAGUAUUAGUAUUACUCUGUGUUUCCAGAUGUUUUAGUUAUUAUCAUAAAACACAUGUUCAAGUCUUCUCCUUUGUUUUCAGUCUCACACAUCCUCCCAUUGUUCCACCUUCUUCUCCAUCUCCCUUCUUCCUUCGUAAAACACAAUAUGCUGGACAUGUGUUUCAUGUUUGAUUUAGCACAUAAUUAAUAAAAUCUGUUUGGCUCA